UCCGAACGACAGUCCAGCGUGCAAACCGCACGACCAGGCAGCCAUCCUGCCAUGCUUUUUGUAAUAUAUUCCAUAAGUAGGAGAAAAAACCUGCGAUGAUUCAGCAAGGGUAAACCCUAGCUGAUUGAUUAUUUUACCACUUAUCUUUAAUUCGUCUACUUGGGCUGGAAGUCACAAUAUGAACCUGUUCAUUUUUAUCGUGUGCCCAAAAACGAUUUGUAUUCGCAUUGACAGGCGUUGAUAAACAUUCACUGAUGUUGCUGAUGAGAAACAUUGACAACUGCUCAAGAUAGUGUUGGCCUCCUUCGUAACGUAACUUUGGUUCAUCUCGUAAACACUUUUUCAUGUGACUGUGGAGCCCUAUUUUGGAGAGACACUCCCGUCCACAUAUAUCGCAGGUUAACGUGACUUUUGCUUCGAUGGUAGAGGAGCCGGCCAUUUUUUGUUUGGCACAUUUUUCUUACAGAGCUGAGGUCCAUAUUUUGUACUGUCCAUAGUUUUCUUGUUCACCAUCUCUCCCCCCAUCUAGCGAACAUGACCAAGCCAGCGCAGACGCCGUUGUCUGAAGAUUGCGAAGAUGCUGGGAAGACCCGUUAGAUCUUGUCAUGUGACUUUCAAGAUCCAUUGGAGGCAGCUCAAGUGGAACGAAUUAAGUUUUCUCUUUUGCUUUGCAUAGGUAGUCAACUACUCACUGCCGCACAGUAGCGUGCUCAAAACGUGUGCCUUGUUGAUGCAGACUUACCCAUGAGAGAUACAGGUCAUCUUCAGUUGUGUUUCUAGUUCAUGACUAGUGAAAGAUCGUGAUGUUAUUUAACAUUGUUACAUGGUCGUGUUAUAAGAUACUUACAGAAGCCAUUUUUUUCUUGGAUUUAAUUCAAUUAAUCGUUAAGAAUUGUCAUUUUGUUCGGAAUCACAUUGGACAUAGUAUACUAUUAUACGAAGUAAGAAACACAUCAACACUAAUGUCUAGGAAUGGCGCUGAUAGAUGAGUCGGGUCAACUUCAGAUAAUCUACUUCCUGAUGUGGUCAAUGGUCUACUCUACUGUUAGAAUCAGGAUGGAGAAAUGUUUAGAGUAUUAAUGAAAAGACAAGUAAUGAAUGUAGUUUUUGCCAUGACAUCAAACUGGAAAAACACCUCUUACGUGACUAUAGGCUUACAAAUAUGGACACCUCUUCAUGAAUCAACAGGCCUAAUUAAACAUUUGUGCACCAUCUUAUGAUUGAUUUAUUAGGAACUAUGGAAGAGAAAUAAAAAAAUUUUAUUUGCCGAUG